rnacentral:pre_miRNA from 1 species
AGUGGAAUUGUUGGAUGAUAUGAUAGCACUAUCUUUAAUUUUUUGAGGAAUCUCCAUACUGUUUUACAUAAUGGCUAUACUAAUUUAUAUUCCUAACAACAGU